rnacentral:lncRNA from 10 species
GUCCAGGGCUGCAGCUGGGAGCUGGAGCUCAGGAUGAGUCAACCAGGAGCUGCCAUGUGGCAAUGGACUGUCCACUAUGAGAGAGCACAGGAGCAGAGCUGUAACUGCAAAUUUAAGCAGCAAAAGGAUUUGCUGAGUGUGUACAGAGAUACUCCCACAACUCAGGGGAAGGCUGGUACUACAUGGGAGCGACCCAGUGGACAAAUUUACAUCAUUUGCCUGCACUGUGGAUGGUGACUGUGUGCAGAGAGAACUGGCUGGUCCUUUUGGAUUCUGAGGAGAGAGUGACCUCACAGUGGCACCUGCCUACAGCCAGCAUUUCUAUUCAGAUUUCUUCCUUUAAAAUUGGUCUUCUGGUUAUAGAAGGGAGAUAUACCUAGAAGAGGUAUACCCAGAAUCUUCAAAGGGAAUGUGGGAUCCUGGUAGCUGCAUGAAUGUGGAAGAGAGAGGAGACGUCUGCGGUGAGGACUGAUUGUGUGGAAUUAGGAUCACUGAGUGGAGGCUACAGAGAAACUGCUGAACACGAAGAGCAUUCCAAGGACAUCACUGCCUGUGGGCGGCAUCAUCAGCUUAGAUAAGUGGUAGGCCCCCGGCACUGCAAGUAUUGGAGGGCCCUGAGCUGCAUGCAGAUCAUGGAGAUCAUCAUCAUCAGUCCCAGGUGGUGCCCUCUAGAGGAAGACACGAGCACAACCACACCUCCUCUGCACUGGUCCAGGCUCUGUGGAUCCCCGCAGCAGGCUCUUGGGGGCAAUGAGGAAGGAGAGAGCUGCUGUUCCAUAACAAACUUCCUAGAAACUUGGGCUUGAGCUAGAUUUGGGUCAGGCAGCUCUCCUAGGCAGCUUAUCUUCAAACGAUGGCUCAGAGAUCAAGAAUAUUCCUUUUUAUGGUGCUGUCAUCUUCAACUCAUGGCCUCCAGAGUUGGCACAGAAAGGAAAAAGCGAAGCUCUUUAUUUUUCAAAUGUUGAAAUGGAGCCUACGCAACACCAUUUUGGCACUCAGUAUCCCGUCCUCCCUGCUCUGCACACAGCCCUACAGAUGGCCUGAUCUGAUAUUCCCCAGUCACUUCCUAUCCCAGGACUCUUCUAGUGAUGAAGAUUAUGAAAAUUCAGACUCUCCCUGCCAUAAGUAAAACUGGCUGGUAUUUUAUCUUCAAAGAGAAAGCCUUAAAAGAGGCAUUCAAGAAAAUCCUCUUUAGGAAAAGGAGAUGGGGAUGUUUUUGGUGAAAGCAAGGUACUUCUCCAGCAGCAAAAAUGGGAGCUGCCCGACCACCUUAUUCUGCUGUUGAGAUGUCAGCAUCAUCUCUGUUAUCUGCCAGCACCACUCAUCCAGGUUACGGGCAGAGUGGACUGCACCUGAGAACAAUGCACACCUAAAGAGGCGGGGCCUGCCUUCUGCUUACAAUGGCUCCCUGGGCAGGUAGUUGGGAUUGUGGCCACCCUCAUCCCUUUCCCGCUAGAACACAGAAAGCAUGGAUAAAAAAGACAAUCAAGACACGUCCCAGAAAACACAGAGUAGCUAGCAGGCUGCUGGAGGCUCAGCUCAGGGAGGCGGUCAGAGAAAACAGUGGAAGCCCAAGUGAAACCAGGAUUUCCAUGCAAGGCUGCCUGUUAAAAACCACCUGGCCAGCAUCAAAACCAAACCAAACAAGAACAAAACAAACGUGAAGCCUGGGCUCCACUCCAGACCAAUUAAAAGAGAUUUUCCGGAAGUAGGACCUGGGCAUAGGAGUUUUUUGCAAAUAAAUUCCAUAAGUGAUUCUAAUGUGUGGCUGGAACUGCUUGGCUGAGUUGCAUAUAAAAUGCAUAGGAGCCAGAAGACCUGGGUUUGGUUAUGUGGUAACUCCCAUGGUGAAAGUCCUUCAGUGGCCUCAUGUUGUCUUAAGAAUUAAAUUUGGUGGUAACAUACCAUAUAUACUUUUCUCGAUUUUUUUCACUUAAUAAAUACAGAAGAUCAUUCACAGAAUAGUAUAGAGACAGAUUUCUCAUUUUGAGUAGCUGUAUAGUAUUUUACCAUGUGGAUGUAUAAUAGUUUGUUAAACUAUUUCCAUAGUAAUAGACAUUUGGGUUGUUUCUAGUUUUUUAAAUUACAUACAGUAAUAAAAUGAAGAUCUCUGUGAACAACAAUUUUUGCGUUUCUGCUGGCAUGUUAUUGGAGUAGAUGUCUAAAAGUGGAAUUGCAGAGUCAACCGGUAAAUGCAUACGCAGUUUUGCUAGAGAUUUUCAAGUUCCUCUCCAUAGGAUUAUGUUGUUUUACAUUCUCACUAUGUAUCUUAGCCUGCUUAGGCUGUUCACCCAUAGUCUGGGUCGCUUAAACAGCAGACAUUUAUUUCUCACCCUUCUGUAGGCUGGGAAGUCCCAGAUCAAGCAGACUUGUUUCCUGGUGAAGGCUUUCUUUCUGGCAUGUAGAUGGCCACCUUCUUGCUGUGUCUUCCCACGGCAGAGAGGGGAGGAGAAAGUAAGCUCUUCAGUGUCUCCUCUUAUAAGGGCACUAAUUUCAUCAUGUGGGCUUCGCCCCCAUGACUUCAUCUAAAUCUAAUUACCUCCCAAAGGCCCCACCUCCUAGUACCAUCACAUUGAGGGUUAGGGCUUCAACAUAUAAAUGUGGGAGGCAGAGACACAAACGUUCAGCCAAUAACACAAGGAAUGCGUGAGAGGCUUUCAUUCUUCAAAACCCCACCAAGGGAAUAUGCUGUCAAACUCUGGAAUUUUUGCUCAUCUCAGUACACUUUUAAUUUUCAUUUCUCUCAUUAUAAGGGAGAUUGAAGAGCCAUUUGAAUUUAUUUUAUCUGUGAAUUGUGCUAUUCAUAUCUGCAGCCCAUGAAUCCUUUUCUUCUGUUUUUAGUGGCUCCUUAAACAUUAAGAACAUUAACCCUUUGUUAUAUGUACAUAUAUUUUUUAGCUUAUCUUUUAUCUUCGUAUGAUGUUGUUUCCUAUUUUUGCAAAGUUUUAUAUAGUUAGAUUUAUAGAAAUGUUUUCUCCACUUUAAAGUUAUAAAAAACUUUACGCUUUUUAAUAUUUAUAGCUUUGCUUCUUGAAAGAGCUAUCUGUGCAAAUUCUCUCAGUUUCCUCAGUUUACACAUACUGCUCAUGUCAUUUUAGUCCAGGUUUCUGGCUCCCUCUCCCCACCCUCCACCCCUGGGAUAGAGCUUUCCCCACUGUGCCUUAGUUGCACCAUAGCUUGCCACUACUACACAUUACUGCCUUAUUUUAUUACCUGUUUAUUUUUCCCUAUUCUUCCUUCAUAACAGGAUUCUGCUUUGCUCUUUUGAAUCCCUGGUGCCUUGUGCUAUGUUUAGUUUGUAGUAUGUGUUCAAUAAAUGCCUUUGAA